UUGGAGGGCAAGUCUGGUGCCAGCAGCCGCGGUAAUUCCAGCUCCAAUAGCGUAUAUUAAAGUUGCUGCAGUUAAAAAGCUCGUAGUUGAAUUUCGGGACCAUCAUGUCGGUCGUGCCUCGGUACGUACUGGCAUCGUCGGUUUCUCCCUUCUGACGAACCAUGAUGUCAUUUAUUUGGUGUCGUGGGGAAUCAGGACUGUUACUUUGAAAAAAUUAGAGUGUUUAAAGCAGGCUCACGCUUGAAUACAUUAGCAUGGAAUAAUGAAAUAGGACGUUUGAUUCUAUUUUGUUGGUUUCUAGGAUCGACGUAAUGAUUAAUAGGGAUAGUUGGGGGCAUUAGUAUUCAAUUGUCAGAGGUGAAAUUCUUGGAUUUAUUGAAGACUAACUACUGCGAAAGCAUUUGCCAAGGAUGUUUUCAUUAAUCAAGAACGAAAGUUAGGGGAUCGAAGACGAUCAGAUACCGUCGUAGUCUUAACCAUAAACUAUGCCGACUAGGGAUCGGAUGAUGUUAAUUUUUUAAUGACUCAUUCGGCGCCUUACGGGAAAC
rnacentral:rRNA from 1 species